rnacentral:rRNA from 1 species
UACGAAGGGGGCUAGCGUUGCUCGGAAUCACUGGGCGUAAAGCGCACGUAGGCGGCUUUUUAAGUCAGAGGUGAAAUCCUGUAGCUCAACUCCAGAACUGCCUUUGAUACUGAGAAGCUUGAGUCCGGGAGAGGUGAGUGGAACUGCGAGUGUAGAGGUGAAAUUCGUAGAUAUUCGCAAGAACACCAGUGGCGAAGGCGGCUCACUGGCCCGGUACUGACGCUGAGGUGCGAAAGCGUGGGGAGCAAACAGG